rnacentral:rRNA from 1 species
UAGGGAAUCUUCCGCAAUGGACGCAAGUCUGACGGAGCAACGCCGCGUGGGUGAAGAAGGUUUUCGGAUCGUAAAACUCUGUUGUUAGAGAAGAACAAGUGCUAGAGUAACUGUUAGCGCCUUGACGGUAUCUAACCAGAAAGCCACGGCUAACUACGUGCCAGCAGCCGCGGUAAUACGUAGGUGGCAAGCGUUGUCCGGAUUUAUUGGGCGUAAAGCGAGCGCAGGCGGUUUGAUAAGUCUGAAGUUAAAGGCUGUGGCUCAACCAUAGUUCGCUUUGGAAACUGUCAAACUUGAGUGCAGAAGGGGAGAGUGGAAUUCCAUGUGUAGCGGUGAAAUGCGUAGAUAUAUGGAGGAACACCGGUGGCGAAAGCGGCUCUCUGGUCUGUAACUGACGCUGAGGCUCGAAAGCGUGGGGAGCGAACAGGAUUAGAUACCCUGGUAGUCCACGCCGUAAACGAUGAGUGCUAGGUGUUGGAUCCUUUCCGGGAUUCAGUGCCGCAGCUAACGCAUUAAGCACUCCGCCUGGGGAGUACGACCGCAAGGUUG